ensembl:lncRNA
UGAUUAUUCACUGAUCUCUGACCCGACUGCUCGCUCUCUAAUGAGUGAUAAAUACAACAUGAUGCAUUUCUUUACAACAACAACAACAACAAUAACAACAACAACAACGACGAGUGAUAAAUACAACAUGACACGUUUCUUUCCUACACCAACGCAGCCGUCCAUCACUACUGAGAAAUCCACUGCAUAUGUUCCUCAGCCCCGGCUGUCCGUGACUCCUGAAGUUCUCACAGAGAGAGGAUCAGUGCAGAUUCACUGUCACGUUCCAGACAAUGUUAAAGUGCGUCAGUGUUAUUUCUACCCAGAGAGAGACAACACAAAUCUAAAACUCUCUCCAUCAUGUCAGCUCUCAGUCACUGGUUCUGAACUGAUCUGGUGGACAGGACGAAGUUCUCCUGGAACACUUCAUAUUACUUGUUUCUACGCUUUGGAUAACUCUGUUCGUACUCCUUCUCCUCACUCUCUCCCAGCUCCAGUCACAGUGCUGAAUCAGAAACCGAGACUAAGCGUCAGUCAUGAUGAUUUCUUUACUACAACAACAACAACAACAAUAGCAACAACAACAACAACAAUAGCAACAAUAACAACAACAACAACGACGAGUGAUAAAUACAACAUGACACGUUUCUUUCCUACACCAACACAGCCGUCCAUCACUAUUGAGAAAUCCACUGCAUAUUCCUCUUCUGAAUCAACACAGCAGUCCGUCACUACACAGAAAUCCACUGCAGG